GGAGUAGCUCAGGGGUAGAGCAUGUGCCUAGCAUGCAUGAGGUCCUGGGUUCAAUCCCCAGUAUCUCCU
rnacentral:tRNA from 1 species